CUUUCCUGAAAUGGGAGUGUGUUUGGAUAACACAGACAUCGUGGGCAUCUUCCAGACUACUCAGUAGUUUCAGCCUGAAGAGGAAACUGGGUAGGUGUUGGAGGAUCAGCAGGAAUUGCUGAGUCUUCUGACUGAGCCUUUGCCAAAUGGAUUAAGUAUCUGUAUGCUCCCAUCCAGUUUGUAAGUAUGUUCCCCCUGACUGCUCUUCUCUUCUUGGAUUACUUUGAAAUAAAGCUUGAUUUUCCACAAAAGAACAAUAUGAAGGUAUAGAUGUUUUUCAUGUAACAAGUGUUAUAUUUGGUUCUCUCAAAAAUUGUAAGGACUUAAUAACCAUAAGGUAUGUAACAAUACUACUGUUAUAUAUUGCCAACAAAAUUAAGAGUGAUUCUUUAAUAUUAUCUAGUAUUAUAUGAUAAUAAAUGAUGUAUAAUUUUCUUUAUCUCAAAAAUAAAUAAAUAAAUAAAUAAACAAAUAGAUUUACUCCCUAACUUGAAAUGUUGAACCAUUUAGAUCAUUAAUCUACUAUCUGCCUUUGUAUUAUGCUUGUCGAAAUUCUAUUAUCUGUAAGUUCUCAAGGCACCCCCCUACACACCCUUUGCAACUUUUUGUGCUAUAAAACUAUGCUCCUAGAGAGCUGGGGUACUGUUCUGUAACCCAAGGAUUUCGGGAGACACAGUCCUGG
rnacentral:lncRNA from 1 species